rnacentral:rRNA from 1 species
AGUGAACGCUGGCGGUAGGCCUAACACAUGCAAGUCGAACGGCAGCACAGUAAGAGCUUGCUCUUACGGGUGGCGAGUGGCGGACGGGUGAGGAAUACAUCGGAAUCUACUUUUUCGUGGGGGAUAACGUAGGGAAACUUACGCUAAUACCGCAUACGACCUACGGUUGAAAGCAGGGGAUCUUCUGACCUUGCGCGAUUGAAUGAGCCGAUGUCGGAUUAGCUAGUUGGCGGGGUAAACGCCCACCAAGUCGACGAUCCGUAGCUGGUGUGAGAGGAUGGUCGGCGGCCCUGGAGCUUGGACGCCGUCCAGACGCCUACGGGAGGCAGCAGUGGGGAACAUUGGACAGUAGUCGCAAGCAUGACCCAGCCAUCCCGCGUCGGUGGAGAAGGCCUUCGGGUUGUGAUGCCCUUCUGUUGGGUAAGAACAGCUGCCGGUUGAUACCAAGCUGUUCUGACGGUACCCAAAGAAUAAGUACCGGCUAACUUCGUG